rnacentral:lncRNA from 1 species
CAGAGAGUCAAGAUUGGGAGAGAAUAAUCUUCGGUUUAAAGAUAGGGCUUCUCUCUCUUUUUUUUUUUUUUUUGGUAAGGUUAUAGUGUAGUGAAAAUGAAAAUGAAGAGUAGUAGAGGAGUACUAGAGGACUUUAAAAGAAAUAAGAGAAAAAGAAAAAUAGAAAAUAAAAGAGAAAACGGAAAGGAAAGAAAAGAAGAAAAAAGAAAAAAAAAGAAAAAGAAAAAAAAAAACAAAAAAAAAAAGAAAGAAAGAAAAAAAAAAUUUUUUUCCCCCUAAUUAAAAAAAUCGUAAAAAUCUAUGUAAAUGAAAGUUAAGGAGUAAUGGGGGGAGUAAUAGGGAAUUUUAAAGGAAAAUAAAAGAGAAAAAAUAAAAAAGAAAAAAUAUAAAAAGAAAAAAAAUUUUUUUUUUUUUUUUCCUUACUUAGAAAAAAAAAAAGUAAAAAUAUAUCUAGGAGUUUCUCUGGAGCUGCUGCGGUCAGUGUGGGUUCGGCUCAGUUUCAGAUAGCUCCUCGUUCCAGCUUACACUUCUCGAUAUCUACAGGCCCCUUCCGGUGAAGUCGGUGUUUUCUACAGGGAUUUUAAUCUGUUGCACCAGUCCCUUCUGAAGCGGUUCCCUUUGUUUAUUUGGCUUCUGUUUGCCGGUCUCUUCAGAGCCUCAUUUCCGCCCUGACACAGGCGGGCGGAGGUGGACUCUUAUUCAGUUAGCUAGUUCCGUUGCGCUGCGGGGCGGGGCUGGCGCUGUGGGGACGGACUUGCUCCGCGGGGGCGGGGCUGGCGCUGCCGGGAGGGGCUGACGCUGCUUUCUCCGUCUGCGCUGCUCAGGCUCCCGGCUGUUCUAUAUGGAGCGCGCCCCGCGCUGCGCGAGGUUCCAGCCCUCGGGUGUUACACAAAAGCGCGGAAGGAAAAGCUGCGCCUGCUCUCUGUGCCUUCCCCGUCAGAGCGGUCCAGGCAGCGAAGGGCUUGAUGGGCGCACUAUCCCCAGUUCAAGUUGGCACCUCACAGAAGCUCCCUCCGAUUGUCCUCAGGGCACUCAGGCCCGG